rnacentral:rRNA from 1 species
UACGUAGGGUGCAAGCGUUGUCCGGAAUUACUGGGCGUAAAGCGUGCGCAGGCGGUUUUGUAAGCCAGAUGUGAAAUCCCCGGGCUUAACCUGGGAAUGGCAUUUGGGACUGCAAGGCUUGAGUGCGGCAGAGGGGGAUGGAAUUCCGCGUGUAGCAGUGAAAUGCGUAGAUAUGCGGAGGAACACCGAUGGCGAAGGCAAUCCCCUGGGCCUGCACUGACGCUCAUGCACGAAAGCGUGGGGAGCAAACAGG